rnacentral:rRNA from 1 species
UACGAAGGGGGCGAGCGUUGUUCGGAUUUACUGGGCGUAAAGGGCGCGCAGGCGGUGAUGUAAGACAGUUGUGAAAUCCCCGGGCUCAACCUGGGAACUGCAUCUGUGACUGCAUCGCUGGAGUGCGGCAGAGGGGGAUGGAAUUCCGCGUGUAGCAGUGAAAUGCGUAGAUAUGCGGAGGAACACCGAUGGCGAAGGCAAUCCCCUGGGCCUGCACUGACGCUCAUGCACGAAAGCGUGGGGAGCAACCAGG